rnacentral:rRNA from 1 species
UACGUAGGGUGCGAGCGUUAAUCGGAAUUACUGGGCGUAAAGCGUGCGCAGGCGGUUCGUUAAGUUCGUUGUGAAAGCCCCGGGCUCAACCUGGGAACUGCAAUGGAAACUGGCGGGCUUGAGUGCGGCAGAGGGGGGUGGAAUUCCGCGUGUAGCAGUGAAAUGCGUAGAGAUGCGGAGGAACACCGAUGGCGAAGGCGGCCCCCUGGACCGGUACUGACGCUGAGGCGCGAAAGCGUGGGUAGCAAACGGG